rnacentral:rRNA from 1 species
GUUUGAUCCUGGCUCAGAUUGAACGCUGGCGGCAUGCCUUACACAUGCAAGUCGAACGGCAGCACGGGGGCAACCCUGGUGGCGAGUGGCGAACGGGUGAGUAAUACAUCGGAACGUGUCCUGUAGUGGGGGAUAGCCCGGCGAAAGCCGGAUUAAUACCGCAUACGAUCUACGGAAGAAAGCGGGGGAUCCUUCGGGACCUCGCGCUAUAGGGGCGGCCGAUGGCAGAUUAGCUAGUUGGUGGGGUAAAGGCCUACCAAGGCGACGAUCUGUAGCUGGUCUGAGAGGACGACCAGCCACACUGGGACUGAGACACGGCCCAGACUCCUACGGGAGGCAGCAGUGGGGAAUUUUGGACAAUGGGGGCAACCCUGAUCCAGCAAUGCCGCGUGUGUGAAGAAGGCCUUCGGGUUGUAAAGCACUUUUGUCCGGAAAGAAAACCUCUUGGUUAAUACCUGAGGGGGAUGACGGUACCGGAAGAAUAAGCACCGGCUAACUACGUGCCAGCAGCCGCGGUAAUA